rnacentral:lncRNA from 1 species
CUAAACAAAUCAAGCAUCAAAACCUCUCUCCUAGGGUUUGAUCAGCACACUAUCCUUCAUGAUAUCUUGUGAUUCAACCAUAGAAAAUGCAAAAGAAUGCAUGGGAAAGGUAGAUCACAAGUCAAAAUCAAGAAAUUUUACCUUUGAUUACUUGAUUACUUGAAAUCCACCAAUUUUCUCUUGAAUUUUCACCCUAGGGUUCUUGUUCUUCCUUUUUGUUCCUUUGUUCUUGCUU